CGGGAGGCAGCAGUGGGGAAUAUUGCACAAUGGGCGAAAGCCUGAUGCAGCGACGCCGCGUGAGGGAUGACGGCCUUCGGGUUGUAAACCUCUUUCAGCAGGGAAGAAGCGAAAGUGACGGUACCUGCAGAAGAAGCGCCGGCUAACUACGUGCCAGCAGCCGCGGUAAUACGUAGGGCGCAAGCGUUGUCCGGAAUUAUUGGGCGUAAAGAGCUCGUAGGCGGCUUGUCACGUCGGAUGUGAAAGCCCGGGGCUUAACCCCGGGUCUGCAUUCGAUACGGGCUAGCUAGAGUGUGGUAGGGGAGAUCGGAAUUCCUGGUGUAGCGGUGAAAUGCGCAGAUAUCAGGAGGAACACCGGUGGCGAAGGCGGAUCUCUGGGCCAUUACUGACGCUGAGGAGCGAAAGCGUGGGGAGCGAACAGGAUUAGAUACCCUGGUAGUCCACGCCGUAAACGUUGGGAACUAGGUGUUGGCGACAUUCCACGUCGUCGGUGCCGCAGCUAACGCAUUAAGUUCCCCGCCUGGGGAGUACGGCCGCAAGGCUAAAACUCAAAGGAAUUGACGGGGGCCCGCACAAGCAGCGGAGCAUGUGGCUUAAUUCGACGCAACGCGAAGAACCUUACCAAGGCUUGACAUAUACCGGAA
rnacentral:rRNA from 1 species